rnacentral:rRNA from 1 species
CUACGUGCCAGCAGCCGCGGUAAUACGGAAGGUCCGGGCGUUAUCCGGAUUUAUUGGGUUUAAAGGGAGCGUAGGCUGGAGAUUAAGUGUGUUGUGAAAUGUAGGCGCUCAACGUCUGAUGUGCAGCGCAUACUGGUUCCCUUGAGUACGCGCAACGCCGGCGGAAUUCGUCGUGUAGCGGUGAAAUGCUUAGAUAUGACGAAGAACCCCGAUUGCGAAGGCAGCCGGCGGGAGCGCAACUGACGCUGAAGCUCGAAGGUGCGGGUAUCGAACAGGAUUAGAUACCCUGGUAGUCCGCACGGUAAACGCUGGAUGCCCGCUAUAUGCCCCUUAGGGUAUGUGGCCAAGUGAAAACGUUAAGCAUCCCACCUGGGGAGUACGCCGGCAACGGUGAAACUCAAAGGAAUUGACGGGGGCCCGCACAAGCGGAGGAACAUGUGGUUUAAUUCGAUGAUACGCGAGGAACCUUACCCGGGCUUGAAUUGCUGAGGAAGGCUUCAGAGAUGGAGCUGCCCUUCGGGAY